UUUUCGGAUGGAUUUUUAGUUGACUGAGUGGCGGACGGGUGAGUAACGCGUGGGUAACCUGCCUCAUACAGGGGGAUAACAGUUAGAAAUGACUGCUAAUACCGCAUAAGCGCACAGCUUCGCAUGAAGCAGUGUGAAAAACUCCGGUGGUACAAGAUGGACCCGCGUCUGAUUAGCUGGUUGGUGAGGUAACGGCUCACCAAGGCGACGAUCAGUAGCCGGCCUGAGAGGGUGAACGGCCACACUGGAACUGAGACACGGUCCAGACUCC
rnacentral:rRNA from 1 species